rnacentral:rRNA from 1 species
AACGUAGGACGCAAGCGUUAUCCGGAGUUACUGGGCGUAAAGCGCGGGCAGGCGGUUGCUCAAGUCUGAUGUGAAAUCUCCUCGCUCAACGGGGAGCAGCCAUUGGAAACUGGGCAACUGGAGUCUGGCAGAGGUAGGCGGAAUUCCGGGUGGAGUGGUGAAAUGCGUAGAGAUCCGGAGGAACACCAGAGGCGAAGGCGGCCUACUGGGCCAGUACUGACGCUGAGCCGCGAAAGCCAGGGGAGCAAACGGG